rnacentral:tRNA from 1 species
GAGGGUAUAGCUUAGUGGUAGGGCAUGUGCUUAGCAUGCACAAGGUCCUGGGUUCAAUCCCCAAUACUUCCA